rnacentral:rRNA from 1 species
UACGGAGGGGGCUAGCGUUGUUCGGAAUUACUGGGCGUAAAGCGCACGUAGGCGGCUUUGUAAGUUAGAGGUGAAAGCCCGGGGCUCAACUCCGGAAUUGCCUUUAAGACUGCAUCGCUAGAAUUGUGGAGAGGUAAGUGGAAUUCCGAGUGUAGAGGUGAAAUUCGUAGAUAUUCGGAAGAACACCAGUGGCGAAGGCGACAUCCUGGACCGGCAUUGACGCUGAGGCGCGAAAGCCAGGGGAGCAAAC